CCUACAGCAGCCCAUUUUGACAUUAGAAGAAACAGCAAAUCAACCUCAUUUGAGAGGGUUCUGCCUCUGGUCUGGUGAAGUAGCUCCGUUUGAGCCAACCCACAAGAGUCAACAUUCAGAAGACUCCAGCCAGCAACCAUCUUGACAUCAAUAAAAACAGUGCAAGCAGGCAGAACCUUAAAUAAAGGGAGCUGGAGAGAGAGUUACUUUUGAAUGAGAAGGGAUAUGAUGAAAAUAAGGAGUAAAUUAAGUAAAGAAUUCAUUCAUUCCUCCUGAGCCCCUUUUUUCAGUUAAAAAAAGAAGAUUCAUUGUGGCAGAUUAUAUUUGGCCACAACAAUAUCUCUCAUCACACACACUUCUUUAAAUAAUGUGACCUUAUCAUGUACUCAUCAAUAGGUGGACUCUAAGUCACCUCCUCUGGAAUGUGGAA
rnacentral:lncRNA from 1 species